UUUAGAUUAAUUAUUAAUAAAACUUAACUAAUAUCAAAAACCUUGCUUGAUGAUAGUGUUGUAAUAAAGUCAGCGACUUACACAAGUACUGAAAGACUGAGGAUAAUAGACUAUAACCUACUCAAGAGCACUUUGUAAAUGACUAUAAGUCUAAAAACAUUGAAUGAUUAUGAACCAGAUUUAUAGUCUGAUCCAGUGGUGUGAUAUGUGAUCACGCCAUAUUUCACUUUGAUCACAGAUAUUUUUUAUAGAUUAGAAUAGGUAAAACUAUGAUCACGCCAUAUUACAACGCUACCACAGUUAUUUUAUAGAUUAGGUAAAACUAUGAUCACACCAUAUGAUACCACAACCUUACAAAUCUGUAUAUAAGUGAUCAGUAGACAUUGAUUAUAGUUAGUGUUAAAUCUCAACAUUGUCUAUAAAUUUUAUGUUUCGUCGUUUCAUACCGUAAUAUAUCCGUUUGCUACAAGUCGAUAACAAACCAAGUAACACAAUUUGAUCAGGUAUAUUUAAUAUAUAUAAAAAAUAAUAUGUCGUACUAUACUAAUGUAUCUGCAGGCGAAAGCUCUUCAAAUGAUGA